GGCCCGAUAGUACAGAGGUAGUAUACACGCUUCGGGAAUAUUCGAUCCUUCCAUGUCAAAUGGGAAAAUGUGUGUGACCCGGGUUCAAAUCCCGGUUGGGCCC